rnacentral:tmRNA from 1 species
AGACUUCCAAUAUUCUCCCAGAGGGCAUAUAGUAGGGCCGUCGGUUUUCCGACUAUAGUGAUAAACGCCAUAUGGAAUAGGCUGCAUGGACCCGGGGGCAGUACCCGGCGCCUCCACCACAACCCGAGGAUUUCGGCGCNAUAAUAGAGCGGGUGCCUUAUGGGGGCGAACCAGGUUCGACAUGAGUGAUAAAGAUAUGGUUUUUGCUCGGCAUGAUACCGCCGUUAUCGGGUCAAAAACACAAUUGCCAAUGAUAAUGAAAUGGCACUUGCUGCUUAGUUAUACUAGGUAAGCGCGGCUCGGAGGGCGCCGGGCAACAGAAGCCCUCCACU